rnacentral:sRNA from 1 species
AGGAAGAGUAAAUAAACGCCUACUCGGAGUCGCCAUGAUAGAAGUUUAAGAAUUCACGCAAGUUCAUUGCCUGGCCAUGGACGAGCGUUGGGCCCAGGAUGUGUUACGGUGUCGUCUCUGUGAGACCCCGGGCCCCCCUAUGUACUGUGACAUUUGUCACAUACAUCUGUGUAAAGCCUGUGUGGGGGAACAUCUCUCCGAUCAAUCCAAAGAACACAAAGUGCUGCCAUUUGAACAGCGGGGAUCUACUCCAAAUUACCCUAAGUGUCCUAAACAUUCCACAAAACAAUGUGAACUUCACUGUGAACAAUGUGACAUUCCUAUUUGUGCACUCUGUAUUUCUGGAGAACAUUUAGGACAUAAACCAGUCGACAUUGUUAAACAUAUUGAAAGCAAAAAAGAACUUUUACAGAGAGAAAUGCAAGAGUUAGAGAAAUCCAUUUCUCCUAAAUAUCAACAGAUUGCCUCUAAUAUCCCAGUUCAGAAAGCUGCUCUGAAUGAAAACAGCCAGAAAUUGACAUCAGCAAUGGACAAACAUGGAGAAGCCUUGCACAGAGAAAUAGACACCAGGAUCCACGAACUGAAAUCUGAUCUGAAUGAAAUGGACACCAAACACCUGGCCAUCUUAAACAAACAGGAAGAUGAAAUCACACGCACCAUUGAUGAAAUCACACAGAGCAUUGCUGAUCUGAAGAAGUUACUGCACUCCAAUGAUGUCAGCGGUGUCUCUGCCUACAAAUCCAGGAUUGCUGAAUUCAGAAGAUUGCCUCCUAAACUCACCGUGUCCUUACCAAGUUUUACCCCUCAGACGAUCAACAAAGAACAGCUUUAUCAACAGUUUGGUUCUCUGUCAGCAUCAUCUAUCAAAACAGAAGAACAAGUCUACACCAUGGAUUCCCCCGGUGCUGAGUCCUCUCCCCCGGACAGACCCCUCAUUGAUGUACCACGGAUCAUCACGGAGAUAAACACCGAGUAUGGAGACUCUAAUAGAUUACUUGGUGUGUCCUGUCUGAGGGAUGAAGAACUAUGGACGCUUGGUCAGGACAACAAGAUGAGACUGUACAACCUAAAGGGAAAACUAGUGAAGUCAGUCCAAACCAAGUCAGGGAACCGUCCAUGCGACAUAGCAGUGACAAGGAGUGGGGAUCUAGUUUAUACUGAUUACUAUGAUGGAACUGUGAACAUAGUGAAGAAUAAAAAGAUAAAGACAGUGAUCAGACUACGGGGGUGGGUACCUCACGGUGUCUGUAGUACCUCCUCUGGUGACCUCCUGGUUGUCAUGGACAGUGAUGAUUAUAAACAAACAAAAGUUGUGUGUUACUCUGGCUCCACAGAGAAGCAAAGUAUUCAGUACGACGACAAAGGACAACCUCUCUAUUCAUCUGGUAGCACUAAAUACAUCAGUGAGAACAGGAACCUAGAUAUCUGUGUGUCAGACUAUGGAGCCCAUGCAGUAGUGGUGGUCAAUCAGGCCGGGAAACUCCGGUUUACCUACACUGGUCGUCCCUCUACUACCAAGGAAUCAUUUGAUCCAGUCAGCAUCACAACAGACAGCCAGGGUCGGAUCCUGACAGCAGACUGUACCUAUAACAACCACCGUAUCCACAUCCUGGAUCAGGACGGACAGUUCCUCCGCUACAUUGACAACUGUCAUUUACAGAAUCCAUUGGGUUUAUGUGUGGACACCAGAGACAACCUCUUUGUGGGUGAGUACGACACAGGUAAAGUGAAGAAAAUCCAGUAUUACAUGUAAACAAACUGUGUGUAUAUCUACAUAUAUAAACAAACUGUGUGUAUACCUACAUAUAUAAACAAACUGUGUGUAUACCUACAUAUAUAAACAAACUGUGUGUAUAUCUACAUAUAUAAACAAACUGUGUGUAUAUCUACAUAUAUAAACAAACUGUGUGUAUAUCUACAUAUAUAAACAAACUGUGUGUAUAUCUACAUAUAUAAACAAACUGUGUGUAUAUCUACAUAUAUAAACAAACUGUGUGUAUACCUACAUAUAUAAACAAACUGUGUGUAUAUCUACAUAUAUAAACAAACUGUGUGUAUAUCUACAUAUAUAAACAAACUGUGUGUGUUACAUUGAUAUGAAUUGUUUACAUAUUGAUAGAUGAAAUACAAACUACAUGUAUGUGUGAAUACAACACUUAAACAAGCUCUGUAUAAAUACUAUAGAGGAACAUUUCUGUGGAUUGUGCACAAAUUACAUAUAUAUAAACUUACUGUUAUGUAUAUUGUGUAUAAUUAUAUUGCAUGUAUAUAAUAUUGUUUAUUUCUUAUUAUUUAAGAAAGAAUAAAAAUGUUAAAUAGUUCUAUGGGAUAUAAACUUGUUGGUCACAUGAUUAAAUCCUGUGAAGUCUGAAGGAAUUCUCACAAGAUUACAUCAUGUCCCAACCAACUUUAUCCAAGAGAACAUUUUAACAUUAAAAUAUAUUAUCAUAUUUACAUUGAGAUGAGAUCAUUCCAAAUCAUGACUUACUGUCUGUCAUACAUACCAGGUUAUAUGCUCCAUGUGACAAGCCGUCAGUUGACCUCUUGACCCUUCAGAAAUUUCUACUGAAUUCUUCACUUCAUCCUUCAAUAGAUUCAGAUGACAAGAGAAAUAGCAAUGUACUUUAUAUUAACAAACUGUCUUUAUUUUAAUAUUAAGAGACUGAUUGCAUUUUCAUGUACCAUGUAAACAAACAUUACUUAUAUACAAAUUGUACUUCUAUUCUUAUUAAUAAUUGUAUUUCAUGAUGAAUGAAUAUUAAAAAAAUAUUGUAUUUUACAUUGAAUAUCACUUUGCUGUCAAAUAAAUAAAACAAGACAAUUAAUGGU